rnacentral:rRNA from 1 species
GUCCACGCCCUAAACGAUGUCAACUGGUUGUCGGGAAGCAAUUCCUUGGUAACGAAGCUAACGCGUGAAGUUGACCGCCUGGGGAGUACGGCCGCAAGGUUAAACUCAAAGGAAUUGACGGGGACCCGCACAAGCGGUGGAUUAUGUGGAUCAAUUCGAUGCAAACGCGAAAAAACCUUACCUACCCUUGACAUGUACGGAACCCUUCAGAGAUGGAGGGGUGCCCAAAGGAGCCGUAACACAGGUGCUGCAUGGCUGUCGU